UACGGGGGGGGUAAGCGUUGUUCGGAAUUACUGGGCGUACAGCGCGCGCAGGCGGGCCGUGACGUGCCGUGUGACAGCGGUCGGCUUAACCGGCCGAGGCCACGGUAGACGCACGACCUGGAGGCAGGGAGAGGGAUGUGGAAUGCCCGGUGGAGCGGUGAAAUGCGUAGAGAUCGGCGGAACACCAGCGGCGAAGGCGGCAUCCUGGCCCUGACCUGACGCUGAGGCGCGAGAGCGUGGGAGCAACCGG
rnacentral:rRNA from 1 species